rnacentral:lncRNA from 1 species
GUUCUUUAUUUCCUCAUAGGACAUGCCAGCAAACAGAUUCACUGUGCCAUCUUAUGCAGUUAAUCAUCAUCAACCAGCUUAUCACCAGCCUUACAAUUAUCCUCAGCCACACCAGAAGCAGCAGCAGUAUAAGAUACCUACAAGGCCACCUCCACCACAACAGAAGAACGUACCUCAGGGACACUAUUUUCCUUCUCGACCUGCACCUUUACCUCCCAUGUAGUUUUUAGUUUCUCUUUUACCCUCUCAUAAACUGACCUGUUCACUAAAACCGAGCUGCAAUUCGUAUCCUUCUUGCAUCAAAUGGCCCAUGAUAUCCCACAGAGCCGCCUUUCUGCAGUACUGGAUAUGGAAAAUGAGAUGGAAACACAAGGAAUGUAAGAUAUUAAACAAAGAUACCUCUACCAAAGCUAUAGGAACGGAAUACAUCGUCUGUUCUUAGCUCUGUGUGUGAGUAUCGUGGCUUUGCAAACUGAAGUUGGAUUAUCUAGUUCGAAGUGGAUCAGUCUGCAGUAAAAUAAUCUAAAACAGCACUUGGGAGUUACUUUUUGUUUCCCACAUCUUAUGAUGAGACACAAUCAUUAAAUAUUCCAUGUGGCUUAUUGUCUUACGAUAUGUACAAUGAAGAGUAAAAAAACUAUUACCCAGGCAGGUGUUAAAAAAUGGAAUUGUAAAAAUCAGGCCACUUGAUUUAACAAAAAUAUUGUGUACAUGUUCUUGUUUUGCCUGGACUAGAAACUAUUAUUCCUGUAUAUACAACUAAGGGCACAAGUGAAAUAAGAUGCCAGUAUAUUUUGAAAAGAAGAUGAAAUAUCCUAUAAACAUGUUUGUGUAUAUGUUUUUACUGGUGUGCUUAAUAUAAACACACUUUUUAAACAACAAAGAAAACUUUAACUUCAUGCUGACUGACACUAAGCUAUAGACAAUAGAGGAUACUAGGGCAGUUAAUUUAAAUGGUUUUUAAAUACACAAUUUUAAGUAGCUAGACCAGAAACCUCUACUAAUGUACCACUAAUACGUUAAAUGGUAUAUUAAAAUAAAGGUACGAAAAAUGGUAGCCUUUUCUUGUUU